GACGAACGCGGCGGCGUGCCUAAUACAUGCAAGUGGGACGCAAGGAAACACACUGUGCUUGCACACCGUGUUUUCUUGAGUCGCGAACGGGUGAGUAACGCGUAGGUAACCUGCCUAUUAGCGGGGGAUAACUAUUGGAAGCGAUAGCUAAUACCGCAUAAUAUUAAUUAUUGCAUGAUAAUUGAUUGAAAGAUGCAAGCGCAUCACUAGUAGAUGGACCUGCGUUGUAUUAGCUAGUUGGUAAGGUAAGAGCUUACCAAGGCGACGAUACAUAGCCGACCUGAGAGGGUGAUCGGCCACACUGGGACUGAGACACGGCCCAGACUCCUACGGGAGGCAGCAGUAGGGAAUCUUCGGCAAUGGACGAAAGUCUGACCGAGCAACGCCGCGUGAGUGAAGAAGGUUUUCGGAUCGUAAAGCUCUGUUGUAAGUCAAGAACGUGUGUGAGAGUGGAAAGUUCACACAGUGACG
rnacentral:rRNA from 1 species